AGCGACGACGAUGACGGUUACACUGAGGCACUAAUGCGGGGCUUUAAAGGAAUAAAAAGGAAAGAGCUGAUGACAGGCUUAGAAAGCAACAGAAGAAGAGACCAAGAUGAAGGAGUCUGAGCUAAUGCGAGGAAACCCGCUGAUCAAUAUGAAUAACUUCUGCUCCUUCGACGUGGAAGUAACAAUGCUGCCUACUAUAUUAUAUUGGUCAUGGAGAGACCAAGACACCGAAACGGUUCAUCAACUACACCGUCAUAAGUGAUUUCCACCGCAAGUUUCUGCAUAGGUACUAUGCCUCCUGCCUAGUGAGCUGCAGGUCUUCUUCCCCCAUCACCUGCAGGCAUUGACGACCACCAUGGCCUGCUGGAGCUCCUGCUCAGGUGAUGA